GCGAGAGUAGCACAGUGGCUAAUGCGCCGGCUAACCAUGCCGGAGUCCGGGGUUCGAGUCCCUGCUCUCGCUCCA
rnacentral:tRNA from 2 species